rnacentral:rRNA from 1 species
GAUGAACGCUGGCGGCGUGCCUAAUACAUGCAAGUCGAGCGAACAGACGAGGAGCUUGCUCCUCUGACGUUAGCGGCGGACGGGUGAGUAACACGUGGAUAACCUACCUAUAAGACUGGGAUAACUUCGGGAAACCGGAGCUAAUACCGGAUAAUAUAUUGAACCGCAUGGUUCAAUAGUGAAAGACGGUUUUGCUGUCACUUAUAGAUGGAUCCGCGCCGCAUUAGCUAGUUGGUAAGGUAACGGCUUACCAAGGCAACGAUGCGUAGCCGACCUGAGAGGGUGAUCGGCCACACUGGAACUGAGACACGGUCCAGACUCCUACGGGAGGCAGCAGUAGGGAAUCUUCCGCAAUGGGCGAAAGCUUGACGGAGCAACGCCGCGUGAGUGCUGAAGGUCUUCGGAUCGUAAAACUCUGUUAUUAGGGAAGAACAAAUGUGUAAGUAACUAUGCACGUCUUGACGGUACCUAAUCAGAAAGCCACGGCUAACUACGUG